rnacentral:misc_RNA from 1 species
AUGUUUUUUGUUUUGUAUGUCUUUCAUAGAUUUUCAUUUGGAAUAGAUAAGGUAACCAACACACUGUAUGUUGUUUUAGGAUAACUACUCAGAAUUGCUGUAUGUUGAAAAUUACCUGAAGGGCAUGCUUUUAUUGUAGAUAGUUCUAGAUUAACAUUGAUAGUUGUUGGACUCAUAUGUGAAGUGUGGGACCUUGUAUUCUUUGGUGGCUAUGUUAGGUGAU